rnacentral:rRNA from 1 species
UACGUAGGUGGCAAGCGUUGUCCGGAUUUACUGGGCGUAAAGAGCGCGCAGGCGGUCGUUCAAGUCGCGUGUGAAAGCCCCCGGCUCAACUGGGGAGGGUCACGCGAUACUGAUCGACUCGAAGGCAGGAGAGGGUAGUGGAAUUCCCGGUGUAGUGGUGAAAUGCGUAGAUAUCGGGAGGAACACCAGUGGCGAAGGCGACUGCCUGGCCUGUUCUUGACGCUGAGACGCGAAAGCGUGGGGAGCAAACAGG